rnacentral:rRNA from 1 species
GCAUAUCAAUAAGCGGAGGAAAAGAAACUAACAAGGAUUCCCCUAGUAACUGCGAGUGAAGCGGGAAAAGCUCAAAUUUAAAAUCUGGCGGUCUUUGGCCGUCCGAGUUGUAGUCUGGAGAAGCGUUUUCCGCGUUGGACCGUGUACAAGUCUCUUGGAACAGAGCGUCAUAGAGGGUGAGAAUCCCGUCUUUGACACGGACUACCAAUGCUUUGUGAUGCGCUCUCAAAGAGUCGCGUUGUUUGGGAAUGCAGCGCAAAAUGGGAGGUGAAUUCCUUCUAAAGCUAAAUAUUGGCGAGAGACCGAUAGCGAACAAGUACCGUGAGGGAAAGAUGAAAAGCACUUUGGAAAGAGAGUUAAACAGUACGUGAAAUUGCUGAAAGGGAAACGCUUGAAGUCAGUCGCGUCGUCCGGAACUCAGCCUUGCUUCGGCUUGGUGCACUUUCCGGAUGACGGGCCAGCAUCGAUUUUGACCGCUGGAAAAGGGCUGGAGGAAUGUGGCACCUUCGGGUGUGUUAUAGCCUUCAGUCGCAUACAGCGGUUGGGAUCGAGGAACGCAGCACGCCUUAUGGCUGGGGUUCGCCCACAUUCGUGCUUAGGAUGCUGGCAUAAUGGCUUUAAACGACCCGUCUUGACCCACAGGACC